rnacentral:ncRNA from 1 species
AGCAUAUGAAAACUAAAACCUCAUAUAAUCUUGGGAAUAUGGCCCAAAAGUUUCUACCCAACAACCGUAAAUUGUUGGACUAUGAGGGAAAGUAAUCGACAA